CGGCGAUAUGCUGCACGGUUUGCAAAUUUUAUAGCGGCUAACUCAGCAAUUGGGGCCGAGACGGGUUGGUGACCGUACUGUGUUCCAAUGUGGUUUGGAUUUUGGUUGACCCGGUCGAUGUUCGGUCAGGUUUGAUCUGAUGAAAGAUGUUUCCUAAGGCUCUGAAACAGUGCAAACAUCCAUUCCCAGUUGCAAGGUUUGAAUAGAUAUUCCCAAAACUUUCCUGAUGUAUGGUUUUAUUUUGUUGAUUUCCUCUGCAAUUAGAAUCAUUCUUUGGUGUUUGGGGGAGGUUCGCUCGUAAUAGCGAAGAUGGUAUGCGUCCGGGUGGAACUAGCGAGCUAGGGAGGUUGUAAAGCUUCUUGUUUAUAUUGCCUUGACUAUUGACAGUGGAAGCUUUUGUUGGCGUGGAGUCUACUUCUAAUACCGGACACUGCCCGUAGAUCUCUGGCUGCAGUUGAUACAUUUUUUAAGAUAUCAUCAAAAUGAAGUUUAAAAAGCUGGUUAUCGUUCUGCCAAGGAAUUUAAUAUGGGGGCUGGACCUGUUGAGGUUGAUAGUGAGCUAAUCUAUUACAUAGGCGGGCAAAUUGAUUGGCCUUCCAAUGGAGACUGCUGGCUGACAAUUCUAAGUUUUCUUGCUGUUUCCGUAGUUAUGUGUACCAGAAGUUCGUUGAGAUAUGUAUUGUAGUUUAUGCUUUCUAUACGCAUAGGAUAUUGCUAUUGGCAAACAUUCCAAAUCUUCUAGGAAAUUUUAAAGCGGAUCUUUAACCAUUGCAUUGAGCGUUUUGGCGAAAACAGUAAUUGGUGGUCUGAAAUGGCAGAGAUCCGUGAAAUCUUUGUUUCCUUUAAGGAUCGGAACUGCACGGAUGCCGCUCACUCAAACUCCACCCACCCCUGGAGAGAUGUGGAAAUGUGUUUGGAAAGUGCUUUCAUCAGAUCUGCAAGUAAAAAAGGUUGGAGUACACCAGUCAUAAUUGGUUCAGGCGGAGGCAGCCGCGACGGUGAAUGGUAUUGAGUAAUCAUUCCAAGAGAGGAGUUUCCUGCGAGGAGUAUGUUUGAUGAAGUUGCAGAAUUCUGAAAGAUGUAAGGGUUGGGUUAUUUUCUCAAUUCCGUUCCAAUUCAGAGUUAACAACGAAUUCCCACAGACUCAGCAAAUAUCAUCUGCAAGCGAAUGCAUGAGAACGCAACUAUGUGCUGACGAAGCAGGAAGGCUGAACCAACUUUUCCACAAAUUAGGAAUGCUAGUGCACCGUUAUUAUCACAUAAAUAGAAUCAGCACUUGUAAUGUAAUGUAGUAUGUUUUUACUUUUUGAUUGUGAUGGAGAACUUCUGCCCGGUCGAAUAGUAAAUGUUUUUUUUUUUAAAUAUUAAAUGUUAUUUACUUAACUGGCCCUCAACGUGGGGCUGCACUCGUGCUCGCGAAUUCAUUGGGUGGAUCCUUUUGUAAAAAUUGGUGGACCUCGGCGCAAAACCGGGAUGUCUGGAGUUUCUUAUUAAGGCAGGCCUAGACCGUGCAUCUAUCGUAUAUUAUCGUGUACUUUCCCUCGAAAUGAUAUUGUAUCUAAUACAUUCGGAAUGAUUUCCCUGCCUCCGGAACCUAACAAUUAUGGAGAAAACCAAAACGCUCCCAUUGCAGGUGUAGGAGAUGCAACCAUUUCACUUAACGAGCUGACAGAAGUUAUUAAUCGCAAUGUGUCUCAAUCUCUCCAAACACAGGGGAGGCAUUUUUAAUAUAAUAACUUAUUAAACUCCGCAUCCAACAUAAAUAAUGAAACGAGCAUAGGCAUAAAAGCUGUCCGCAACAGGAAUUUAUCAGAAGUGGAUAAGUUUCCGGACGUCGUGAGAAGCCUGAGGGACUUCGCGGGCAACCCUGUUGAAUUUAGCUCAUGGAAGAACAGUGUCGAUAGAAUACUCAAGAUCUAUGCAGAUCAUAUAAUACACUCCUUAACUGGGAAAAAAAUUCCAAGUGCCUAACACGCGGGCAAGAGGGAUCUUGGUAUCCUUGAGUACCAAAUGACAACCCUUAUUAAGGAAAUAGCAGCGUUCAUGAGUUUUACCAAACUGUGUACCAUCAUUUAUCCGUCAUACUAAACAAAUUAUCCUCGACCAGUAUGGGUCAACAGUCAUUGAAUAAUAUGACUCAUUGUUAAGA